rnacentral:rRNA from 1 species
CCUACGGGUGGCAGCAGUGAGGAAUAUUGGUCAAUGGGCGCGAGCCUGAACCAGCCAAGUAGCGUGAAGGAUGACUGCCCUACGGGUUGUAAACCUCUUUUAUAAAGGAAUAAGGUGAGGCACGUGUGCCUGUUUGUAUAUUAUUUAUGAAUAAGGAUCGGCUAACUCCGUGCCAGCAGCCGCGGUAAUACGGAGGAUCCGAGCGUUAUCCGGAUUUCUUGGGGUUAAAGGGAGCGUAGAUGGGUUGUUAAGUCAGUUGUGAAAGUUUGCGGCUCAACCGUAAAAUUGCAAUUGAUACUGGCAGCCUUGAGUACAGUUGAGGUAGGCGGAAUUCGUGGUGUAGCGGUGAAAUGCUUAGAUAUCACGAAGAACUCCGAUUGCGAAGGCAGCUUACUAACCUUCCACUGACAUUGAUGCUCGAAAGUGUGGGUAUCAAACAGGAUUAGAUACCCGAGUAGUC